AGCAGCCGCGGUAAUUCCAGCUCCAAUAGCGUAUAUUAAAGUUGCUGCAGUUAAAAAGCUCGUAGUUGAAUUUCGGGACCAUCAUGUCGGUCGUGCCUCGGUACGUACUGGCAUUGUUGGUUUCUACCUUCUGACGAACCAUGAUGUCAUUUAUUUGGUGUCGUGGGAAAUCAGGACUGUUACUUUGAAAAAAUUAGAGUGUUUAAAGCAGGCUCACGCUUGAAUACAUUAGCAUGGAAUAAUGAAAUAGGACGUUUGAUUCUAUUUUGUUGGUUUCUAGGAUCGACGUAAUGAUUAAUAGGGAUAGUUGGGGGCAUUAGUAUUCAAUUGUCAGAGGUGAAAUUCUUGGAUUUAUUGAAGACUAACUACUGCGAAAGCAUUUGCCAAGGAUGUUUUCAUUAAUCAAGAACGAAAGUUAGGGGAUCGAAGACGAUCAGAUACCGUCGUAGUCUUAACCAUAAACUAUGCCAACUAGGGAUCGGAUGAUGUUAAUUUUUUAAUGACUCAUUCGGCGCCUUACG
rnacentral:rRNA from 1 species